rnacentral:rRNA from 1 species
UACGAAGGGGGCUAGCGUUGCUCGGAAUCACUGGGCGUAAAGGGUGCGUAGGCGGGUCUUUAAGUCAGGGGUGAAAUCCUGGAGCUCAACUCCAGAACUGCCUUUGAUACUGAGGAUCUUGAGUUCGGGAGAGGUGAGUGGAACUGCGAGUGUAGAGGUGAAAUUCGUAGAUAUUGCAAGAACACCAGUGGCGAAGGCGGCUCACUGGCCCGAUACUGACGCUGAGGCACGAAAGCGUGGGGAAGCAAACAGGGAUUAAGAUACCCU